rnacentral:rRNA from 1 species
CAGCAGCCGCGGUAAUACAGAGGGUGCAAGCGUUAAUCGGAAUUACUGGGCGUAAAGCGCGCGUAUGUGGUUUGUUAAGUUGGAUGUGAAAUCCCCGGGCUCAACCUGGGAACUGCAUCCAAAACUGGCAAGCUAGAGUAUGGUAGAGUGUGGUGGAAUUUCCUGUGUAGCGGUGAAAUGCGUAGAUAUAGGAAGGAACACCAGUGGCGAAGGCGACCACCUGGACUGAUACUGACACUGAGGUGCGAAAGCGUGGGGAGCAAACAGGAUUAGAUACCCCUGUAGUCCCUGUCUCUUAUAC